rnacentral:rRNA from 1 species
GGGCCAGACUCCUACGGGAGGCAGCAGUGGGGGAUAUUGCACAAUGGGGGAAACCCUGAUGCAGCGACGCCGCGUGUGGGAAGACGGUCCUCUGGAUUGUAAACCACUGUCCCCAGGGACGAAGAUGACGGUACCUGACUAAGAAGCCCCGGCUAACUACGUGCCAGCAGCCGCGGUAAUACGUAGGGGGCAAGCGUUAUCCGGAUUUACUGGGUGUAAGGGGAGCGUAGACGGCAGUGCAAGUCUGAAGUGAAAGGCGGGGGCCCAACCCCCGGACUGCUUUGGAAACUGUGCUGCUGGAGUGCAGGAGAGGCAAGUGGAAUUCCUAGUGUAGCGGUGAAAUGCGUAGAUAUUAGGAGGAACACCAGUGGCGAAGGCGGCUUGCUGGACUGUAACUGACGUUGAGGCUCGAAAGCGUGGGGAGCACACAGGAUUAGAUACCCGAGUA